UGCCAGCAGCCGCGGUAAUACUGAAGGUGCAAGCGUUAAUCGGAAUCACUGGGGGUAAAGCGCUCGUAGGUGGCUUUGUAAGUCAGAUGUGAAAGCCCCGGGCUCAACCUGGGAAUUGCAUUUGAAACUGCCUCACUAGAGUAUGGUAGAGGGAAGUGGAAUUCCGGGAGUAGCGGUGAAAUGCGUAGAUAUCCGGAGGAACAUCAGUGGCGAAGGCGACUUCCUGGACCAAUACUGACACUGAGGUGCGAAAGCGUGGGUAGCAAACAGGAUUAGAUA
rnacentral:rRNA from 1 species